rnacentral:rRNA from 1 species
GAUGAACGCUGGCGGCGUGCCUAAUACAUGCAAGUAGAACGCUGAAGCUUGGUGCUUGCACCGAGCGGAUGAGUUGCGAACGGGUGAGUAACGCGUAGGUAACCUGCCUCUUAGCGGGGGAUAACUAUUGGAAACGAUAGCUAAUACCGCAUAAAAGUCGAUAUCGCAUGAUAUUGAUUUGAAAGGUGCAAAUGCAUCACUAAGAGAUGGACCUGCGUUGUAUUAGCUAGUUGGUGAGGUAACGGCUCACCAAGGCGACGACACAUAGCCGACCUGAGAGGGUGAUCGGCCACACUGGGACUGAGACACGGCCCAGACUCCUACGGGAGGCAGCAGUAGGGAAUCUUCGGCAAUGGGGGCAACCCUGACCGAGCAACGCCGCGUGAGUGAAGAAGGUUUUCGGAUCGUAAAGCUCUGUUGUAAGAGAAGAACGAGUGUGAGAGUGGAAAGUUCACACUGUGACGGUAACUUACCAGAAAGGGACGGCUAACUACGUG